UCUGUUUGCCAGUACUGUGAGAAAACGUCGUUACCGAAGGGGUCUGGAUGCUAAAACAAACCAUGAAGACGCCUUUUGUCGUUAAUUAAGAGGUCUGGAUGCUAAAACAAACUCUGGAGCUGCUUUUUUGUCGAACACGGGUGAGACUAGACGCUGAACACACCUACGGCGUUAAGGUUUACUGGUUCAGCUGCUGCAGCAUGGACAGAAACACCAGCUCUCACCUUACAAACCAAACAGGUGUCACCACUUUGUCCAUGAUCACAGAGUGUCUUCAUACAAUUAAGUAGUUCUGUGAAACCAGGACUGAGGCCUCCAGGAUUCAAACUUAAACCAUUAAACCACAGAGAGAAGAGACAGAUGUGAAGACAUUUCCAGAAGGUCUUCAGCUGCUGCCGUCUCCUCCUGCAGAAACAAGAAUACCCAACAUGUGACUUACGACACAUCUUAAAGUGGCUGUCUUACCUCUGUUUUCCACAGACACACACAUUUAUAUAGUGCAAUAUCAGUGCCCUUUUUUUUAUUUUUGCUGUUUUAACACUGAAUUUCCCUGUUAUGACACUGAUAAAGUAUUAUCUUACUCAAAUAAAUGCUUCUGAAAACAGAA